ACGUAGGGUGCAAGCGUUGUCCGGAAUUACUGGGUGUAAAGGGAGCGCAGGCGGACCGGCAAGUUGGAAGUGAAAUCCAUGGGCUCAACCUGUGAAUUGCUUUCAAAACUGCUGGCCUUGAGUAGUGCAGAGGUAGGUGGAAUUCCCGGUGUAGCGGUGGAAUGCGUAGAUAUCGGGAGGAACACCAGUGGCGAAGGCGACCUACUGGGCACCAACUGACGCUGAGGCUCGAAAGCAUGGGUAGCAAACAG
rnacentral:rRNA from 1 species